rnacentral:rRNA from 1 species
GAUGAACGCUGGCGGCGUGCCUAAUACAUGCAAGUCGAGCGAACAGACGAGGAGCUUGCUCCUCUGACGUUAGCGGCGGACGGGUGAGUAACACGUGGAUAACCUACCUAUAAGACUGGGAUAACUUCGGGAAACCGGAGCUAAUACCGGAUAAUAUAUUGAACCGCAUGGUUCAAUAGUGAAAGACGGUUUUGCUGUCACUUAUAGAUGGAUCCGCGCCUCAUUAGCUAGUUGGUAAGGUAACGGCUUACCAAGGCAACGAUGCGUAGCCGACCUGAGAGGGUGAUCGGCCACACUGGAACUGAGACACGGUCCAGACUCCUACGGGAGGCAGCAGUAGGGAAUCUUCCGCAAUGGGCGAAAGCCUGACGGAGCAACGCCGCGUGAGUGAUGAAGGUCUUCGGAUCGUAAAACUCUGUUAUUAGGGAAGAACAAAUGUGUAAGUAAAUAUGCACGUCUUGACGGUACCUAAUCAGAAAGCAACGGCUAACUACGUG